CAAAAGCAAGAUGGCAUCUACAUCUCAUGAGGGAGCGAAGCGAGUGCAGAAAAAAAAAAAGCAGAGAUUGUUUUGCGCAUUAUCACUGAGUCGGACUCUGGACUCCACAGAUUACCAGCCGCUGGACUACUUCAGGCUGUUCUUUCCUGAAGCUGCCUUUCAGCUACUGUCAAACGAGACAAACAGGUGCGUCUAAUGGUCAGGUGCGUCUUAUGGUGCAAAAAAUACGAAAAACACCACAGAAAGAGAAAACUGACAAUGUUCCUGAAGACUAGUUUGACAAAUAGAGAAGAUGCAAAUGUAUGCUGAAAUUGAGCAAAACCCUAACUAAAUGGGACAAAGAACUUUUAAACCCAGCCUGAAGGAUCAUGACUUUUGUCCAGAAUACCCUGACUCGACCUGCUGAUUAACAGUGCAUACUGCAUUUCAGUUUUAUCUGAAUAUGGCACUUGGUGCCACUGCCACUGCCUCUGGUGCCAGGCUGAGCUACUUAUGGAAAAAUCAUCUUGGAUAAAGAGGCAUUGAAAUCAUCAAAUGGAAAAGAUUCCCUCAUCGGAUUGGAUGGCCAGCACAUACUGUAGUUCACUACUGAAACCCCAAAAAUAGGUAGAUGGCCAGUUGGUAGAGGUCUUCAGGAUUGUGACUUUGUUUUUCACUUUCUCUUUUAACAAUUUUAAUCCCCUCUAGUUCAUCAAUUAAUUAAUGAAGAGAUAUUUUUGGUUUCCAUUUAUGUUGAAUCAAUUUCUACCCUGUUCUCUGUGUGUUUUAACAAAUCUGUAUUCAUAUGUGUACCAGCUCUGUAUUUAGUAAUUAAUAUAAUCUAUACUUGCAUUUUAACGGAGAAUUAUUCACAGUACUGAACGCCUGCACACAAUGAAAAGUGCUAUGCAAAAAAUAAGUUGUAUGGUAUUGUACUGAGUAAGCCAGUUUUCUUAGUAAGGAAAAAAAGUGUUACAUGACAAGCAGUCAGGAAAGUCAGCAAAAUUAAGAGAUCGUUGGUGUAAGGGUUCAUUAAUAUAGGGAAGAAUACAGCUGUCAUUGUCCAUGUUGGAACAAAUUACAUACAUAAGGACAGCCUGUUGUCAGUUCUGCAAACCAAACUUUAAGAGUUAGGUGUCAGGCAGAGGAGAAAAACGGUAUAGGUAGUCUUCUCUGACGUUCUACCUGUUCCUCAGGCACUGGUAAUCCAUUUGGAACUAACAAGGCCUGUUCUUCUGUGAAGAGUUACAUUUUAAUGUAUUGGGGAGGCAUAUGCGAAGGUUAGUUGAAACUAGGGAAUGGGGGACAAUGAGUUUAAGUCAGACAGGGUUUAGAAUUGUCUUUGAAGGAAUAAAAAUAGUAUAAAAACAAAUAUGCAUAAUCAUGUUAAUUCUAACAAAAAGUAUGAGUGCAAAACUAAAAUAAAUAACACAUUAAAAGUAGCAUGCCUUAAUAUUAGAAGUAUAAACAAUAAAACAAGUGAGUUGUAGUUGUAUGUAGUUGUGCAUAAUUAUGAUAUUAUAGCAAUAACAAAAACCUGGCUAAAUAUUAAGAAUGACAAUGAGUAUAACAUAGAUGGGUACACAUUUUAGGAGGCAUAGACUGAACAGAAGAAAGGGAAUGUCAUUUAUGUAAAACAGAGUUUAAAUGCAAGUCAUUUUCAGUUGGAUGAAGAGCCACAUCUUAGUGAGGAUGUCUAGAUUGGUCUGGAAAGCUGUAGCAAAAGAGGCCUUAUUUUAGGAGAGUGCUAUAACCCCCCAAAGCAGACAGCAAUUUCAAUGCACAUAUUUUUAAUAAUAUUAAAAAAGCAAGGUUAUGGGGGGAUAUUACAUUUACGGGGAUCUUUAACUAUCCAAAUAUUAACUGGUUAACCCUAUAGUUGGCAAAGUACGAGAGAGGGAGUUUUUAAAAGAAAUCAGUUAAUUUUUUCUAACACAAAUUCUCAGAGUUUUGGCAGAGUGUAAAUGCAAAGACUAAAACUGUUAAGCUUAACUUUGGUAAGGCAAUUUUUGAACUGAUGUGGCAAAGCCUAAAAGGGAAAAACUGGGAUAAGCUUUUACGUGUAGAAACAGUUGAGGAGCAGAGGAACAGGUUUAAAAACAUUUUACUUAAAAUGCAGGUCAGGAACAUCACAAAACAAGAAUUUACUAGGACUGCAGUGGGGAAGUAAGAUAAAAAAGAAGCUGCAAAGGAAAAAGAAAAUGGCUGUAUAAGACAUAAAAGACUAAUAACAUCAAUGCAAAUCGUAAGGAGUAUGUAUGACAGCAUGAGAGCAGCCAUAAAGAAGGUUAUUAGGGAACUAAAAGGAAGUUGGAGGGGAAUAUUGCAGAUAAGGCAAAAGAUGACACAAGGAGGGUCUUUGAGUGUUUUAGUAGUAAAAGAACAGUCAAGGAGGAGUUGAAGUGCAUCAAGAAUCGUAAAGCGGAAUUAAAUUAUACAGACAGCGAAAUACCAAAUGCCCUAAACUAGAUUUUUUCUUAGGUCUUAGCAUGUGAAGAAGUGGAUAACCUCCAGGCGCUAACAGGAACUACUAAGAAGUUACAAAGUGAUUUGGAAAUUAUAAAGGGAAAAAUACUGCUCAGAAUAAACAGUAAUCAAACAAAUUACCAGGACCACUUUAUACUUAAAGCAGUAACGACGCACGAAUAUACUUGACUUGAGCAUUCAUAGUUUUCCUACUCUUUCUCUGUACGAUUAGCAUUCGUUUGCUCAGAGGUUGAUGCGCUUGCUGCUUCCUGAGCAGCUCUUCUUUUCUCCAUCUUUGUGACCCACUUCUUCUCUUCAUUCGACGGCAUCUUUUCGUGUUAAAACUGAUUAAGUCAGUGUUUGUGUUGCAAUUACUUAGUACGUUUUCCUUAAUUUUUCAUUUAAGCUGGCACUUAAAUCUUAAAUCUGCCUCAAAAAUGAUUUAAGAUAUGAAGAGGGAAGGUGGUAGGGAAUGAGAAUGGCGCCCGUACACAUGCGCUGCAUGGCCAUCCUGCUGGCCGCUGCCGAGACUUGAUUCUACAAUAAAAUAAAAUAAAAAUAAAAAGAGGAAUAACCUUGGAGGUCAAUCAUCACCCUGAAAGCAGAUAGUAGUCAUCAUGUAGUAUAUGUGUACCAUAUUUCAGAUCAGUAGUUCAAACGGUUUGCGAGCUACAGGUGAUUUAAAAUCCCGGACAGACAAACGGGACAGCCACGGUAGCGUAUUAUAUAAGAAGAUACUUAAGGAAAUUAGUGAAAAAAAAAUUAUACAAUAUAGGGACCUUCAAAACUAGACUUGAAUUUAUUUGAGGGGAUUUAAGUGGAUAGAACUGGCAAGCUUUGUUGGGUAAACGACCUGCUGAAUUUUUCUAAUGUUGUACAGUUCCCAGAUAUGUGAAGGAAAUCAUUUCCCAUUGCAUCAUAUGCCACUUUGGUAAUAAUGAUCAAUUACAGUAUAACACACGACAAACUCUGUUCAAGAGUCUAUUCAGUCAAUUUUAUCUGUAAAAGUAAAAUCACAGGAUACUUAACAGUAGCAGAUGCUGCUUAGUCUAAGGGGAUUUUCCUAUAGCUCACUAGAAUGCUCAGUUGGUUUAUUAUACAAGUACACAGCACACAGGUUUAUAUUACAAACAGCAAACAAACUGGUUUAUACUGUAAACAACUACUAAUGUGAAUACUUAAGCAUUUUAUUAAUGACAUAAAUGACUCAAUAAUUAAUAAAUGAAAAAAACAUUUUUUGGCCAUGAAUGAUAGACUUAUUGAUUAAGUUUGAAUGCAUGUUUUCUCUCAUAUCGUGGUACACAGAUGCUAGGAAAGCAUUCAUUUGAAAAUGCUACUGUAGUAGUAGUAGUUGCGGCAUACAGUAAGUGACUGCUAAGCAGUAGUCAGUAGCAGGUCCCUUAUAAUCGAUGGUCAGUUGUAAGAGUCUAAGUUAAAAGUGCAUUUAAAAAUAAUGAAAAUAAAUAAUUUAAAUACAAUUAAAAAAAUCAAAAAAGGACAUCCGCAGUAAUGCGAGCGUUGCAUCGGUCUGUCGUGGUGAAAAAGGAGCUGAGCCGCAAGGCGAAGCUCUCAAUUUACCAGUCGAUCUAUGUUCCUACCCUCACCUAUGGUCAUGAGCUAUGGGUAGUGACCGAAAGAACGAGAUCGCGAAUACAAGCGGCUGAAAUGAGUUUCCUCUGCAGGGUGUCUGGGCUUUCCCUUAAAGAUAGGGUGAGAAGCUCAGUCAUCCGGGAGGGGCUCAGAGUAGAGCCGCUGCUCCUCCGCAUCGAGAGGAGUCAGAUGAGGUGGCUCGGGCAUCUGAUCAGGAUGCCUCCUGGACGCCUCCCUGGUGAGGUGUUCCGGGCACGUCUAACCGGGAGGAGGCCCCGGGGAAGACCCAGGACACGCUGGAGGGACUAUGUCUCCCGGCUGGCCUGGGAACGUCUUGGGAUUCUCCCGGAAGAGCUAGAAGAAGUGGCCGGGGAGAGGGAAGUCUGGGCAUCUCUGCUCAAGCUGCUGCCCCCGCGACCCGACCUCGGAUAAGCGGGAGACAAUGGAUGGAUGGAUGGAAAAAAGGACAUUUUUUUGUUAUUAAUGAUACAGUUAGUGAGAAAAUUAAAUGCAUAGUUUCCUAUAUUGUGGAAAAUAUAUAUAUUUUUUUGCUUUAUAUGGCAUACUAGCUGUGGAAAUCUGGACAUUUUUAAGAUAAUGUACCUCAGUUAUAGUGCUGUUGGUUAAUAUGAUGUAUCAGAAAUAUUCUGCACUUUUUAUAUUUUAAUUGGAAACGGUAAAGGCGGGAGGAGUAGUAAUUGGUUGUGUCUGAGAGUAUGAUGUGACUGGGAAAAUUAUAUCACAAAGGAAGGUGACUAUGUAGAAAAGUGAUGUAAUUUGUUUUUGAAAUUCUUAAUAAAAAUAGAUUUUAAAAAAGUGAGGAAA